rnacentral:rRNA from 1 species
AUUGAACGCUGGCGGCAGGCCUAACAUAUGCAAGUCGAGCGCGAGAGUUCUUCGGAAUGAGUAAAGCGGCGGACGGGUGAGUAAUACAUGGGAAUCUGCCUGGUAGUGGGGACAACGUUUCGAAAGGAACGCUAAUACCGCAUACGCCCUACGGGGGAAAGGGGGGAUCUUCGGACCUCUCGCUAUCAGAUGAGCCCAUG